CUUGCCUGGUUCCACCCUUGGCGACGGAUCCUAAACGGGGUAAGCAAGAACCUUCACUUCCCUAAAAUUUUUUAAUUUUUAAAUAAGGGUAAGUUUGAAUUUAAUUUAGCAAGUUGGUUUUCUUUUUAUUAAUCUAAUUAAAUAAAAAUUUAAUAAAUUAAAAUUCUAUUUUUUAUUAUAUUUAAUUCUAAUUAAAUUAUAAUUAAUUUAGAGUAAUUACAUUAAAUUUAAAUUUACUAAAUGUAUAUUUUCCUUCCACUAAAUAUAAAUAUAAAUGUUGUUUCAAUAAAUAUUUUAUCCUCCUAAUGUAAAUUCUAUUUCAGUUUUCCUAAAUGUAAAUGAUGUAUCUAUCAAUCGAUUGAUUAUUUUAUACAAUGAUUUUUUUCGCAUUUAAAAUUAAUUUUGUAAAAUUUCACAAGACAACAUUUGAUUUCUCCCAUUUAAGCCUAGAAAGCUUAAUUCUUACCAAAAAAAAAAAAUUACAAGCUUAAUUAUGUUUUCUAUUUCACCUUCACAUUUUUUUUUCUCCAUCUCUUUUUAUAAAUUAUUUAUUUUUUCCUUGUCAAUGCAAUUUGAAAUAAUAAUUUUAUAUUUUAUUAUUGCACAAAUAUAUGAUUCUUUAAAAAAAAAAUUUUAUUAUUGUGCAUAUAUAUGAUUCUCUUGGAAAAAAAAACUACAAGAGUCCUACAAAACUAAUUCCACAUGAUUGAUUGUACAAAAUACUAAAAGAUUCUUUUACACUCUCAUGUCUAAAUUUUAUAACAAGAAAAAUAUUGUGGUUAGCUUCCUCAAAAUUUUCUUGGACAAAGAAAAGGAAAGGAAAAAAAAUGCUAAAUUACAAAUGUGCCUCCAUUGUUGCUGGGCACUGAAACUAGAUCGAGAAUGGUGAUUGCUUCAUCAACCACAGGCAAAGACAUAACAAACAGAUUGAAGAAAUAAAGAAGACCACCGUUGUCGAGCAAAAUUGUACCUAGAGCCUUCCAAAGACGAAGAAAGAGGUGCUAAGGACGUUGAAAGUGCAUGCAUAGACAGAGUCCAUGAAAGCAGGGGGCACCAAUUGUCACCGAAGUAGAAGAAGGAACUUAUGUACAAUCCAGUCAAGUAUCCACUGCCAGGGUCAAGAGAGAAAACCCCUGUCAAAGCCGGUGGAAUGAAGGAGAUGGAAAGGUGGCUAUCUCGUCGAGCUCAAAGCAUCCGCUCCUCCGAACACUCUCCCACUCCCACCACUGGAAAAAAUCUUGAAGCCCAUAGCAAGAAAACCUUUAAAUAUGCAAAAACCCACAACAAAAACAAAAAGAAAAAUGAAAACAAAGCAUUGGCAACCAUAAACAACCUCCUAUAAAACGCCGUUAACACUAAUCAAACCAAAAACUGAUAUUUACACCUCCACCCGACUAGGGAGGGAAAUCCAUAAUUAGGCGGAGGUAGGUCUCCCUCCACAUAGAGGGGCAAAGAAAACCUCCAAAGAAGGCAAAGACUCAGGGGUCCUAGAAAGGGUGAAAUCAAAUACCUCAAAGAGAAAAACUCUUUCUCUAGGAGAAGAGAGAGACAGAACCACGCAAGAAUGUGUGAAAAAAUUUAGGGUAGGGCGAUUUGCAGUUGUGCUGAAUUGGGAGCAUUAAGUCUUGAUGCC
rnacentral:lncRNA from 1 species